rnacentral:rRNA from 1 species
GAUGAACGCUGGCGGCGUGUUUAACACCUGCAAGUCGAACGAUGAAGCCCAGCUUGCUGCGUGGUUUAGUGGCGAACGCGUUUGUAACCCGUCAGUAACCUGCCCUUGACUCUGGGAUAAGCUCUGCAAACGCCGUCUAAUACCGGAUACGACCUUCCACCGCAUGCUGACUUGCUGCACACAAUUUCGGUCAAGGAUGGACUCGCGGCCUAUCAGGUAGUUGGUGCUGUAACGGCUCACCAAGCCGACGACGGGUAGCCGGCCUGAGAGGGUCACCGGCCACACUGGGACUGAGAGACGGCCAAGACUCCUACGGGAGGCAGCGGUCGGGAAUAUUGCACAAUGGGCCCAAGCCUGAUGCAGCAACGCCGCGUGAGGGACGAAGGCCUUCGGGUCGUAGACGUCGUGUAGCAGGGAAGAAGCGAAAGUGACGGUACCUGCAGAAAAAGGACCGGCUAACUACGUG